AUACGCAGGGGGCGAGCGUUGUCCGGAAUGAUUGGGCGUAAAGGGCGCGUAGGCGGCGCGGUAAGUCUGGAGUGAAAGUCCCGCUUUCAAGGUGGGAACUGCUUUGGAUACUGCAGAGCUUGAGUGCGGAAGAGGUAAGUGGAAUUCCCAGUGUAGCGGUGAAAUGCGUAGAGAUUGGGAGGAACACCAGUGGCGAAGGCGACUUACUGGGCCGUAACUGACGCUGAGGCGCGAAAGCGUGGGGAGCGAACAGGAUUAGAUACCCUGGUAGUCCACGCGGUAAACGAUGAAUGCUAGGUGUUGCGGGUAUCGACCCCUGCAGUGCCGGAGUAAACACAAUAAGCAUUCCGCCUGGGGAGUACGGCCGCAAGGUUGAAACUCAAAUGAAUUGGCGG
rnacentral:rRNA from 1 species